rnacentral:pre_miRNA from 1 species
GUAGUACUCCCUCCGUCCGAAAAUACUUGUCAUCAAAAUGGACAAAAAAGGAUGUAUCUAGAACUAAAAUACAUCUAGAUACAUCCCCUUUUAUACAUUUUGAUGACAAGUAUUUUCGGACGGAGGGAGUAGUAU